rnacentral:tRNA from 1 species
AGCGGGGUAGGGUAGUCAGGAUAACCCGUCGGGUUCAUAUCCCGAAAAUCAGAGGUUCAAAUCCUCUCCCCGCUA